AGAUACACCAUACCAGCGAUCAGACUUCCACAUCAACAACUCAUUUCAUUUCAGGGGAAAUCCAAAACUUUGCCUAGAAUGGAAACCAGCAGGCUCAUCUCAACUGACAAAGCAACAAUUGUCAUCCAAGUAAAUCCACAGGUGGCACAAAAUGCUGUUAUUUGUGAUGAUGGACAGGAGGCCAGAGGAGCACAUCACAAUAUGGCUCUCACUGAACCUAAGGCACUGGGGGUUGUCCAGAUAAUGAUCGGAAUGACGGUUUUCUUAUUUGGUAUUGUACGCACCACUGAUGUCUACAAUUUCCCUGCUGUUUCUUUGUUUAGUGGAAUAACCUACUGGGGAUCCCUUGUUAACAUCAGUGCUGGAUCUCUGUCUGUUGCUGUGCAGAAUAAACUUCAUCCAUGUGUGGUGAAAUCUUGUCUUGUAAUGAAUGUGCUCAGUGCCGUAACUGCAGGGCUCGCCAUUCUUCUCAUGUCCAUGGAAAUAGGACUCGGCUCAGAGACCAGCAAGUAUCGAAGUUGCCUCAAAAGCUACGGUCGAACUGAAGACUUUAUGUGUAUAAUGUAUGAGAGGUAUGAUUUGGGGGUCCUUGGAAUAUUGCUGGUGUUCUCCAUACUUCAGUUCAUCAUCUCCAUCUGUAUCUCAGUAUUUGCCUGCAAAGCCACCAGCAACAACGUCUUCACAGGGGUCGAUGUGGCACUAAUUGGGGAUACUGAGUCACAGUGAGAAGAUCCUACCAUCCAAAGGUUGCAAGGAAUUAACCCUCUGGGUUCUGAGAGUAUUUUGGGGCCCUGGAGAAGUUUUGACAUGUCCUGACAUUUGUGCAUUUUUCAGGUGCUUAUAAACAUAUUAAUGGCAAAAGUGUCAUUAGACUAUAUUCAGCACAAAUUUGGCUAUCAUAAUAUGUGAGCAACAUGUAUGUAAAUAAUGUUUAUGCAUGGUUAUUGAAAAAAAAAAAAAAGUCACUGAAAUAAGGCCACAAAAUACACACUGAAUAUGUAUCCACAA